rnacentral:rRNA from 1 species
AACGCGAAGAACCUUACCAGCUCUUGACAUGUCUCGUAUGGGGACCGGAGACGGUUUCCUUCAGUUCGGCUGGCGAGAACACAGGUGCUGCAUGGCUGUCGUCAGCUCGUGUCGUGAGAUGUUGGGUUAAGUCCCGCAACGAGCGCAACCCUCGCCCUUAGUUGCCAUCAUUCAGUUGGGCACUCUAGGGGGACUGCCGGUGAUAAGCCGAGAGGAAGGUGGGGAUGACGUCAAGUCCUCAUGGCCCUUACGGGCUGGGCUACACACGUGCUACAAUGGCGGUGACAAUGGGAUGCUGAGGGGCGACCCCGAGCAAAUCUCAAAAAGCCGUCUCAGUUCGGAUUGCACUCUGCAACUCGAGUGCAUGAAGGUGGAAUCGCUAGUAAUCGUAGAUCAGAACGCUACGGUGAAUACGUUCCCGGGCCUUGUACACACCGCUACAGU